rnacentral:rRNA from 1 species
CUACGGGAGGCAUUUUGUGGGGAAUCUUCCGCAAUGGGCGAAAGCCUGACGGAGCAACGCCGCGUGAAUGAUGAAGGCCUUCGGGUUGUAAAGUUCUGUCUUCAGGGAAGAACAAAAUGACGGUACCUGAGGAGGAAGCCCCGGCUAACUACGUGCCAGCAGCCGCGGUAAUACGUAGGGGGCAAGCGUUGUCCGGAAUUACUGGGCGUAAAGAGCGUGUAGGCGGGUUAUUAAGUCAGAUGUGAAAACUUGGGGCUCAACCGCAAGAGUGCAUCUGAUACUGGUAAUCUUGAGGGUAUGAGAGGAAAACGGUAUUCCUAGUGUAGCGGUGAAAUGCGUAGAUAUUAUGGAGGAACACCAGUGGCGAACGCGGACUUUGCAUG